ensembl:lncRNA
AAUUUUCACUAGGACUGUGUCAGAAUCUGCUUGAGUUCUUCCAGUGUAUUUAUCAACUGAAGACCGAGUCCUGAAUGUGUUUCUGCAUGCACUGAGAUGUGCUUUGGGACUUGGAGACCAAACACUAGAGCUCCAGCCCUAAGUGUGAAAGCAAUGAUGCCCUGUGGCGGAGUCUCAGAUCCAAAGGGAACUCAAUGAUCAAAAUAUCUUCCAAAGCAAUUUGGAGUCAAUAAAGAAAACUAAAACUGGGGUCUCGGAUUAAAAAGAAGUCAGCUUCAGGAACAGCAGUUUACAAAGAUUUAAGGGGCAGAUGAAAAAGCAGAUGAAUGAGAAAUGAUUAGAUGCUAUAAGAAAUGUUUAGACAUUGUACAUGAGACAUGGUUUAGUGGGGAGCAAUUGGUGGUAAGUUGAUGGUUGGACUGGAUCAUCUUUGGAGGUCUUUUCCAGCCUUGGUGAUUCUAUGGACAUCUUGCUUAUACUUUCCUGCACCAGAGCUUUCCAGAAAUUUGGGCAGGUGAGUCAGGCUGCACCACAAGCCUUUCAACUCUGCUUGCAAGUGAAGCUCUGCUGAAGCAACUCCUGAUUUCAAGUCAGAAACAAAGUGUUUCAGAGUUAGGUCCCUAAAGGAUAGCAAGAAGGAAAAGAAAAGCUCUGGAAGCCUCUUUGAAAAACAGCAAUUUUCCUGUGCCAGCCAGGCAGAUCUAGAUUUCUGCAGGAGGUCCUCUUGUGCAUCACAUCUGCAUUUUGAUCUGCUCCUCAGUGCCACACAACAGCUCCAAGACUCAGACAGCUGAAGGGACCUUUGCUGUGUGUCAGGGCUGCCUGUGCAUCUACAUCAAGCGCUUCACAUGAGCCCCUUUGCAUUUUUUCAGUGUACUUGGUAAAGCAGACUUUCUACAGAAGUUAAUCCCCGGAAUUUUUCUCCAGCUUUCCAAAAACAGAUUCUAAAUCUGACAGGGAAGGAGAUGUUUUCCAUCAGACAUCUAUAAGCGAUUUCCUUCUACCCUGAAGACAUAAAGAUGUGUAGAGGACCAUUAAUAGGAAUGGAUGUGCUCGAGCAGAAGGUAAGUGCAGCAGAAGGCUGUCUGUAACCCCUGCUCUUUGUGCCCCUGUCUUCCUCUUACAUCGAUUGCUGACGAUUGCUGGCUACAGUUUAAUGCCCUGUUAAGAGCUAAAGAACACUGACUCUGCAGGCAAUGGUCCUCUCCUGAGCUUUGAAUUCCUGAAACAGUUCAGUGCAAGAGAAUUUUCUGUGUGCAAAUAUUUACCUGUCUAUUCUCCUGCUUGGCAGGUGAAAACUGAACCAGCAGCCUGGGUGUAUGCCACAGGUCUCAUGGGGCCUUUACUGUUCGUACAAGGCUUGUCUGUGAAACAAGUGGCUUGUAUAAAGGCAUUAUACCCCCAACAUGAAUGAAGGAUGGGUUAACCGGGC